UACGUAGGUGGCAAGCGUUGUCCGGAUUUACUGGGCGUAAAGAGCGCGCAGGCGGUCGGAUAAGUCGAAUGUGAAAGCCCCCGGCUCAACUGGGGAGGGUCAUUCGAUACUGUUCGACUCGAAGGCAGGAGAGGGAAGUGGAAUUCCCGGUGUAGUGGUGAAAUGCGUAGAGAUCGGGAAGAACAUCAGUGGCGAAGGCGGCCUGCUGGGCUGUUGCUGACGCUGAGGCGCGACAGCGUGGGGAGCAAACAGG
rnacentral:rRNA from 1 species